rnacentral:rRNA from 1 species
AACUUAAGCAUAUCAAUAAGCGGAGGAAAAGAAACCAACAGGGAUUGCCCUAGUAACGGCGAAGUGAAGCGGCAACAGCUCAAAUUUGAAAUCUGGCUUCGGCCCGAGUUGUAAUUUGCAGAGGAAGCUUUAGGCGCGGCACCAACUGAGUCCCCUGGAACGGGGCGCCACAGAGGGUGAGAGCCCCGUAUAGUUGGACGCCUAGCCUGUGUAAAGCUCCUUCGACGAGUCGAGUAGUUUGGGAAUGCUGCUCAAAAUGGGAGGUAAAUUUCUUCUAAAGCUAAAUACCGGCCAGAGACCGAUAGCGCACAAGUAGAGUGAUCGAAAGAUGAAAAGCACUUUGAAAAGAGGGUUAAAUAGCACGUGAAAUUGUUGAAAGGGAAGCGCUUGUGACCAGACUUGCGCCCGGCUGAUCAUCCGGUGUUCUCACCGGUGCACUCUGCCGGGCUCAGGCCAGCAUCGGUUCUCGCGGGGGGAUAAAGGCCCUGGGAACGUAGCUCCUCCGGGAGUGUUAUAGCCCAGGGCGUAAUGCCCUCGCGGGGACCGAGGUUCGCGCAUCUGCAAGGAUGCUGGCGUAAUGGUCAUCAGCGACCCGUCUUGAAACACGGACCAAGGAGUCAAGGUUUUGCGCGAGUGUUUGGGUGUAAAACCCGCACGCGUAAUGAAAGUGAACGUAGGUGAGAGCUUCGGCGCAUCAUCGACCGAUCCUGAUGUUUUCGGAUGGAUUUGAGUAGGAGCGUUAAGCCUUGGACCCGAAAGAUGGUGAACUAUGCUUGGAUAGGGUGAAGCCAGAGGAAACUCUGGUGGAGGCUCGCAGCGGUUCUGACGUGCAAAUCGAUCGUCAAAUCUGAGCAUGGGGGGCGAAAGACUAAUCGAACCAUCUAGUAGCUGGGUACCGCG